rnacentral:rRNA from 1 species
GACGAACGCUGGCGGCGUGCUUAACACAUGCAAGUCGAGCGGCGCGGCGAACGGGUGAGUAACGCGUGAGUAACUGCCCCCCUCUCUGGGAUAACAGUUGGAAACGGCUGCUAAUACCGGCUGGUGGGGGAUGACUCGCGUCCUAUCAGCUUGUUGGUGGGGUAGUGGCCUACCAGGGCGACGCCGGGUAGCCGGCCUGAGCGGGCGACCGGCCACAAUGGGCUGAGAGACGGCCCAAACGCCUACGGGAGGCAGCAGUGGGGAAUAUUGCACAAUGGGGGAAAGCCGGAUGCAGCAACGCCGCGUGCGUGAUGACGGGCUUCGGGUUGUAAACCGCUGUCAGCCAUGACGCGGUAGUGGCAGAAGAAGCACCGGCUAACUACGUGCCAGCAGCCGCGGUAAUAC